rnacentral:tRNA from 1 species
GCCUCUGUAGCAUAGUGGUAAUGCGUCGCUCUCGUAAAGCGAAGACCGGGAGUUCAAAUCUCCCCAGGGGCU